GCGCUCACUUUGGCAGCACAUAUACUAAAACUGGAAUGAUAUACAGAGAAGAUUAGCAUGGCUGCUGUGCAGGGAUGACACGCAGGUUCAUGAAGUUAAAACAAAGAAG